UCAUCUUAUCCUGUGCCAUAUGAGUUAUUAUCAAGUUCUUUUUCAUAAAUACCGGAGAUCAGAAGUCGUGUGGUUAAGUUUGAGAUCAUGAUAUGGUACGACUGAAUUUAUUUGACAUGAGUUGUGUGAAUGAAAGACCAAAGAUGUUAUGUAGGUAAGCUGCACAUCCAGCCCCAACUCUAUUGUGAAAAUAGCUUUUGGGAUGGAUUGUGCUGAGCCGCUUGCUCUUCACACUACACAUGGAAAAUUAUGAGAUCCAGUGUCCAGUGCUUUGCUAAUGAGUUUAUUCUUAGCCCUUAUGAUGCAAAAUAAGUCGCCACGUAAAUGCAAACUGAGAAAGUGGAAGUGGUGGCCACAGCAAUUGGAAAUUGGAAGUGGUGGCCACAGCAAUUGGAAAUUGGAAGCUUAUGAUCGAGAUUCACCUUCUCACGCCUUAAAAUUUAUGAGGGGUGCAUUGAGUAAUCUCUUUUGGACUUGCACCCCAUGGUAUGCGACUAUUUAGCUUUGAAGGCAAACCCUAUUUUUCACGGCCUAUACAACUAAUGCCAUUGUAAUAGACAAGUUAGACUCAAUUCAUUACUAUUCUUCAAAAGCCAUUCUUUUUCCUUUUACCAUUUUUCUCUUUUUUUCCCCUAAUUUCUACAAUUUUGAAUGAAAAGCAUAAAAAUGGUGUAUUUUGGGGACUUUUUUCGUAACCAGUUAGCUCUCGUGAAGCUUUGUGGAUAGAUAAAGAAAACACACUUCACCUCGUGUUAUAUCUCUGAAAAAUUUCAUGUGUUUUUGGCCUUCACUUUCGUCAGCAAAUAUAUGCUAAAGAGAUCCGCACAUGGCCCAGUUUCUGAGUCUUCUCUCAUUCUAGAACUCAAUUAAAAC
rnacentral:lncRNA from 1 species